CACACGACAGACGCCGAACGGACAACACCUUCCUUGUCCCUCCAAGGCUCCAACAACAUGUACAAUCAAGAAUUUCAGCACAAAGUGAACAUAAUUGCACAAGGCUUGCACAAAGGCAAGCAACAACACGAGUAGCGAAAGCUCUAACUACUAUACUAUACAUACAACCAUCAUAUCAUAUUGAUUACCUUUUAAUCAAAUACAAGCACUAUUACAACCAUUCUUUUCCAUACAUUGUUUACAUCACAUUAUCUUUCAACCCAAAAUAAUGAUUACAACUUUUCUCACUUAUAUUCAACAUACAAAA
rnacentral:lncRNA from 1 species